ACAGCCUGUCCCUGUCCCAGCAUCCCCCGGGGCCCAGGGCGGGAGGGCGUCACGCGGAGCCAAGCGCAUGCACAGUUCCCCCAUCAACCCCCACGCACUCAGCAUAACUCACAUAAACCCCCCCACCCCACCGCGUUCAGCCUCAACCCAUACAACCACAGCCUGUGUAAAUAACAUGACGUGCUAAACACACGCUACAGUACUACAGGAGCGCCAGUGACUAUUCUACAACCUACAGGCCACACAGUACUACAGGAGAGCCAGUGACUAUCCUACACCCUACAGGCCACACAGUACUACAGGAGAGCCAGUGACUAUUCUACACCCUACAGGCCACACAGUACUACAGGAGAGCCAGUGACUAUUCUACACCCUACAGGCCACACAGUACUACUGGAGAGCCAGUGACUAUUCUACACCCUACAGGCCACACAGUACUACAGGAGAGCCAGUGACUAUUCUACACCCUACAGGCCACACAGUACUACAGGAGCCAGUGACUAUUCUACACCCUACAGGCUACACAGUACUACUGGAGAGCCAGUGACUAUUCUACACCCUACAGGCCACACAGUACUACAGGAGAGCCAGUGACUGUUCUACACCCUACAGGCCACACAGUACUACAGGAGAGCCAGUGUCUGUUCUACACCCUACAGGCCACACAGUACUAGGUACUGGGUAACAGUUGUUUAAAUGUUUUGACAUCAUGUCCAGCACAUACUAACAGUGGACUUUCCUGAUUGCAUGGAAGCACGUUGCAGAAGUCGAACCCUUUUGCGUGGGCCCCUGCUCUCCCCCGUUAUCCGCUAACACCAUCCCCUUAUGACAUCACCAUCAUCAUCACCUGGCUCCGCGUGGUGUCCUCCCCUUUUGGACUUCAUGGCUCCGCCCCCUGACUCCACCCCUGAAUGGUUAAGCAUGUAGAAGGUGGAGAAUUGUGAUUCAUGCCCCUUUUCAUAUGCCCCCUGCCCCCCCCCCCCCCCUCCUCACACCCCCCCACGAUUGUGACAAGAUUUUAAACGGGUCUUCAGACUCAGCCUGGGGACCCAUUGUGUACGCUGGUUUUCGUUUCAGCCUAAUUGCAGUGUCUAAACAGUAAUGAGCUUCUAAUUGCUCUUAAUUAGAUGCUUAACGACUAACGAAUAAUUCACUUUUAAUAUUUACCUAAUGGUUUAUUUUUCUGUGAUGUGCUGUAUGGAAAAUAAUUCAGUUUGAAAGUGGUGGAAUUUUUCUAAUUGAUGAAAAUAAAGACCAGUGAAAUCAGUGGGGUCCUAACUGCUUAAAGUGUGGACAGCUAGUCACUGGCACUAAACUAUUUCUGGAAAUGGGUAAAUUCAAAGAUGGCGUUCAAGGUUUGAGGAAAAAAUUGUAUGGAAAUCUGAAUUGAUAGAGAGAUUGGCUUUAACGAUAACGAGAAUACAUGUGUGGCCCCAGCACCGAAUUUAGAAACCUGAAUUAAACCCCCCCACCUUGCCUCUCACCCCCCCCCCCCCCCCUCCAAUCAGACCCAUUAAUCAGUGUGGUAGCAUUUAUUGUAGUGCAUGCAUUGGUAGUGGCUGUGGUACUGUAGUGUAGUGGUGUGGGCUGUCUCUCUCUCUUGUUGUCUCUCUCUGUCUCUCUCUCUCUGUCCCUCUCUCUAUCACUCUCCUUCCUAACCCCUCCCACGCAGAUCACAUGCAGCAUUCUCACAACGUUACAGCAACGUUCAGCAGCGUUAUGGGAGCGUUGUGUGUUGGCUCUUUCCGUUUUGCUUCCUUCUG